rnacentral:rRNA from 1 species
GAUGAACGCUGGCGGCGUGCCUAACACAUGCAAGUCGAACGAACAGACAAUGAGAUUGUGCCUUUACCGUUGGCGGCGGGCGGGCGAGUAACACGUAGAUCACCUCCUUAUUUUUCGGGGAGAAUUACGGAAGAAAGGUUCCGAUACCAGAUAAUAUGUCGAACCGCAGGGAUCAGUGGAGAUUGGUGGCUUUGCUGACUGAUAUAGCUGGUGCCGGGCCGGCUUAGCGAGUUGGUAAGGUACCAGCCUACCAAGGCUACGAUGCGUAGCUGAGCUGAGAGGGUGAUCGGCCACACUGGAACUGAGACACGGUCCAGACUCCUACGGGAGGCAGCAGUGGGGAAUAUUCGGCAAUGGGCGGAAGCCUGACGCAGCCAUACCGCGUGAGUGAUGAAGGUCUUCGGGUCGUAAAGCCCUGUUAUUGGGGAAGAACAGCCGUGGAAUUAAACGUGGCCGUCUUGACGGUACCUAAUCAAUAAGCACCGGCUAACUACGUG